AUUGAACGCUGGCGGCAGGCCUAACACAUGCAAGUCGAACGCGUGGCGGACGGGUGAGUAAUGUCUGGGAAACUGCCCGAUGGAGGGGGAUAACUACUGGAAACAGUAGCUAAUACCGCCUACCAUCGGAUGUGCCCAGUUGGGAGUAGCUAGUAGGUGGGGGAACGUGUCACCUGGGCGACGAUCCCUAGCUGGUCUGAGAGGAUGACCAGCCACACUGGAACUGAGCCACGGGCGCGACUCCUACGUGAGGCAGCAGUGGGGAAUAUUGCACAAUGGGCGCAAGCCUGAUGCAGCCAUGCCGCGUGUAUGAAGAAGGCCUUCGGGUUGUAAAGUACUUUCAGCGAGGAGGCGUUACGCGCAGAAGAAGCACCGGCUAACUCCGUGCCAGCAGCCGCGGUAAUUC
rnacentral:rRNA from 1 species